CGAGUCCGAGGAGCUAAGGCUCCAAAGUGAUGCGAGUCAGACUUCCCAGAAAAGCCCGAACCACGUUAAUUUCUAACUACCUGUACCCGAAACCGACACAGGUGGGUAGGUAGAGUAUACUAAGGGGCGCGAGAUAACUCUCUCUAAGGAACUCGGCAAAAUGACUCCGUAACUUCGGGAGAAGGAGUGCCUUAUUUAUAAGGUUGCAAUAACAAGAUCCAAGCAACUGUUUAUCAAAAACACAGGUCUCCGCUAAGUCGUAAGACGAUGUAUGGGGGCUGACGCCUGCCCAGUGCCAGAAGGUUAAAGAAGUUGGUUAGUGUAUGCGAAGCUGAUGACUGAAGCCCUGGUGAACGGCGGCCGUAACUAUAACGGUCCUAAGGUAGCGAAAUUCCUUGUCGGGUAAGUUCCGACCCGCACGAAAGGCGUGAUGAUUUGGAUACUGUCUCGGAGAGAGGCUCGGUGAAAUAGACUUGUCUGUGAAGAUGCGGACUACCUGCACCAGGACAGAAAGACCCUAUGAAGCUUUACUGUAACUUGAAAUUUGAAUUGGACUUUGCUUGCGCAGUAUAGGUGGGAAGCGUUGAAGAUAUUCUUGCGGGAGUAUUGGAGCUAUCAGUGAGAUACCACUCUUGUAAUGUUAGAUUUCUAACUUUGAACCAUAAUCUGGUCAAAGAACAGUUUCAGGUGGGCAGUUUGACUGGGGCGGUCGCCUCCCAAAUGGUAACGGAGGCGUACAAAGGUUUCCUCUGAACGGAUAGAAAUCGUAUCUAGAGUGUAAAGGCAUAAGGAAGCUUGACUGUGAGACCUACAAGUCGAGCAGGGACGAAAGUCGGUCUUAGUGAUCUGACGGUACUGAGUGGAAAGGCCGUCACUCAACGGAUAAAAGUUACUCUAAGGAUAACAGGCUGAUCUCCCCCAAGAGUUCACAUCGACGGGGAGGUUUGGCACCUCGAUGUCGGCUCAUCGCAUCCUGGGGCGGUAGUACGUCCCAAGGGUUGGGCUGUUCGCCCAUGAAAGCGGUACGCGAGCUGGGUUCAGAACGUCGUGAGACAGUUCGGUCCAUAUCCGGUGUAGGCGUUAGAAUAUUGAGAGGAGCCUUCUUUAGUACGAGAGGACCGAGAAGGACACACCGCUGGUGUACCAGUUAUCGUGCCAACGGUAAACGCUGGGUAGCUAUGUGUGGAGUGGAUAACCGCUGAAAGCAUCUAAGUGGGAAGCCCACCUCAAGAUGAGUAUUCUCAC
rnacentral:rRNA from 1 species